rnacentral:lncRNA from 1 species
AUGAUUUCUUUCCAGCUUCCAGACCCUGCCGCUGCUGUAAUGCCAUCUAAUUAUGCUUCUUAUCUGCUUUCACAGGGGAGCAGUUUGCUGUUGUGCACCAUCUCUAGUCUCUUCAGGGAACUGCCAGUUCUGCAUUUCCUUACAGCGUAUUUCCAUCCAAGAGAGCUUCUCCACAGCUUCCCUGAUCUCUGUCAGACGCUCGUUAUUUUGUUAUUUCUGUUCGCCUGUCGUACCCAUGUCUGUGCUGGUGGGAAGAGACACUCAGUGUGCUUGGCUGAAGGCUGGCCCCUAUCAGUACCCCUCUCAGGACUAGUGUUGGUAAAUGGAAACCUCGUCUACAUCAGGUUGCUUUUCCUUCAGCUCCUUCUUCCUCCUACCCAGUCCUUCACCUCCAAAACCAAGCAGGACACAGAGCUCGCCAGGGUCUUUUUUGUUAAGAAAAUUUUCCCUUCUCCCUUGACAAAGCCCUUGCAUUGGAUACAGCUAAGUUGGUUUCUAACCCUUUUUUUUAAAUCUGUAAGUGGCAUGUAUUCACACCCAAGCACCCGUCCUGAAAUGCAUGAGGUUUCCUGAGCAGUUCAGCUUGAUUUUCUGUUUCUGAGAGUGGAAGGGUUGCUCUUGGUGAGGAAAGAGUAAACCUGUGGGAAAAGGGCAAAAAUACACAUCCUGGGCUGUUGAUUUUGGCUGUGCCCCACGGGCCCAAACACAAGCAAGACAGAGGUGUCUGAAGUACAGCUUUGGUGGAGUGCAAAACCCUAAACUGAGGAGGGCGAUCCCUACAAACACCUGUUGGCCUGGAUGUCUCAGGGGUAGGUCUUCUCUAGGUGCUGAGGGUCCCCAUGCUUGUGGGUUCAACCCAGAAAUGUUGGGGAGCCCAUGCCACAGCUCUACCACCACUAAGCCAGUGUAACACCAAGUUCUUCCUGUGUCUGCUCAGCCCCUGUGUCUCCUGGCUGCCACAUCCUCAGAAAAUCACUGCACUUUAAUACAUUUAUUUAUGCUUUUUUUUUUUUCUUUUUGAAGCAUGAAAGUGAUUUACAACAUUUUAUAUUACAUUUUUUAAUCCUUUAAAAUUAAAACAAAUCUUUUCUCCGCUUUGCCCAGUUUUAAGACAUCUCUUUUAUUCAGCUCUUGCAGAAAAAUAUGGAUGGAAGCAACUCCUAAAAUCCCUAACCACUGGAAACAAAAUUGGUAUUUUUUUCAAGUUAAAUACUAUAACAGAGUGAAACAUACAUGUUUAAUUUGGAAAUGUUGAUUCCAAAUGGAUUUUUCUUUAAAAAAAUAAAAAAAAACUAACUUCCCCCA